rnacentral:rRNA from 1 species
GACGAACGCUGGCGGCGUGCUUAACACAUGCAAGUCGAACGGAAAGGCCCUGCUUUUGUGGGGUGCUCGAGUGGCGAACGGGUGAGUAACACGUGAGUAACCUGCCCUUGACUUUGGGAUAACUUCAGGAAACUGGGGCUAAUACCGGAUAGGAGCUCCUGCUGCAUGGUGGGGGUUGGAAAGUUUCGGCGGUUGGGGAUGGACUCGCGGCUUAUCAGCUUGUUGGUGGGGUAGUGGCUUACCAAGGCUUUGACGGGUAGCCGGCCUGAGAGGGUGACCGGACAGAGUGGGACUGAGAUACGGCGCAGACUGAGGCGGGAGGCAGAAGUGGGGAGUGUUGCACAAUGGGCGGAAGUCUGAUGAAGCCUCGCCGCGGGCGGGAUGACGGAGUUCGGGUUGUAACCCGAUUCGGACGGUGACGAAGCGUGAGUGACGGUAAUGGGUAAAGAAGCACCGGCUAACUACGUG